UACGGGGGGGGCAAGCGUUGUUCGGAAUUACUGGGCGUAAAGGGCACGUAGGCGGCCAACUAAGUCGGAUGUGAAAUCCCCAGGCUUAACCUGGGAACUGCAUCCGAUACUGGAUGGCUUGAAUCCGGGAGAGGGAUGCAGAAUUCCAGGUGUAGCGGUGAAAUGCGUAGAUAUCUGGAGGAAUACCGGUGGCGAAGGCGGCAUCCUGGACCGGCAUUGACGCUGAAGCACGAAAGCGUGGGGAGCAAACAGG
rnacentral:rRNA from 1 species